CUAUACAUGACUCUGCGCAUAUCAAUAAGCGGAGGAAAAGAAACUAACAAGGAUUCCCCUAGUAACGGCGAGUGAGGCGGGAAGAGCUCAAAUUUGAAAUCUUCAAGGUUUCCCUUGACGAACUGUAGUUUAUAGAAGUGUUUUCUGUUAGUAGAGGUGGUAAAAGUUCUUUGGAAUAGGACAUCAUAGAGGGUGAGAAUCCCGUAUUUAGGUCAUUCUUUCUAGCUUUGUGAUACACUUUCAACGAGUCGGAUUGUUUGGGAAUGCAGUCCAAAAUGGGUGGUAAAUUUCAUCUAAAGCUAAAUAUUGGCGAGAGACCGAUAGCGAACAAGUACCGUGAGGGAAAGAUGAAAAGAACUUUGAAAAGAGAGUUAAACAGUACGUGAAAUUGUCAAAAGGGAAGCGUUUGACACCAGUGUUGUUUUUCCGAAAAUCAAUUACGAAUGUUUUAGUUUUUGAGGAGUUAUGACUUCAUCGGCUUGCUCCUUUCUUUAUGAAACUUUCUUAAUGCACUUUUCGGUUAACAAGUCAACAUCAAUUUCUUUUGUUGUAAAAGGGUAUGAGGAAGGUGGCUUUCUUUUCGGAGAAAGUGUUUAUAGCCUUGUGCCUCUGCAAUCGGAGAGAUUGAGGUCUGCAGCGUAGAUCCUUCGGGGUUAGAUACAUUUGUGCUAAGCUAUAGCCUUUUAUAGACAACUUGUUGACUAUGCUCAGUCAUGUAGCUUACUCACUUGAUGCUAUUUUACCUACGCUUAGGAUGUUGAUAGUCACAGCGUGUAC
rnacentral:rRNA from 1 species